UUAAAAAUUUAAGUUUAUGGUGUUUCGUGGUUGUUUUGUUUUAAAAGUAUCUAUAUAUCCCGUUUAUAUUAGUGUUUCCUAAAAACGCGAACUAAAUUCAAACUUCGAAACCGCGUCUACGAUAUUCAUACAACAUUCAAACAUCGUUUCGAAAACAAGUCACAAAUUAAAAUUUUAUGACCGCAUUAAAUUUUUCGCAGAUAUUUACUUUUAGGUGUACGGAAUUCGCCAAAUUCGUCUUGUUCUCUUAGGUUCACAAUCAAAUGUCAAAAACGUGCAGCAGCAGUUUUGAAUUACGACGGCUUUGAUUUUAUAUCGAUUUGGAGGAUUUUGCAAUUUGAUUGAACCGAUUACUCAUUGAGUCCAGCAUCAUAUAUUUAAGAAGCCCUUUUCCGUGGUGAACAAAUACUGACUGCAUACAAUGGAAACUUGCAGUCUCUGCAGUCAACGGAUGUCCGACUUCCCAUACGAAAUCCAGUCCAACUAUUGAAUCUAGGUAGGUAGGUGCCUUUUGGCCACAUUGUUUGCCAACCAGUUGGGCAGACAAAUUACAGUUUGAAAGGUCGCCAGCGGCAAACUUGAAAAAGCCGACGAUUAGAUAUGCAUGUAUGUCUUUUGUUCGUUUUCAUGAAACGAUCGUUUUGUUUUCGCUUGUCCACAUGUUUAUUCAAAUCGCCACACUGAACAUUGUCCAUUACAAUAAAUUCCAAAGUCAUCAUA